rnacentral:rRNA from 1 species
UACGUAGGGGGCAAGCGUUGUCCGGAAUUAUUGGGCGUAAAGGGCGCGUAGGCGGCCUGGUAAGUCUGGAGUGAAAGUCCUGCUUUUAAGGUGGGAAUUGCUUUGGAUACUGCUGGGCUUGAGUGCAGGAGAGGUAAGUGGAAUUCCCGGUGUAGCGGUGAAAUGCGUAGAGAUCGGGAGGAACACCAGUGGCGAAGGCGACUUACUGGACUGUAACUGACGCUGAGGAGCGAAAGUGUGGGGAGCAAACAGG